rnacentral:rRNA from 1 species
GUGGGGAAUCUUGCACAAUGGGGGAAACCCUGAUGCAGCGACGCCGCGUGAGCGAUGAAGCCUUUCGGGGUGUAAAGCUCUUACGCCAGGGACGAUAGUGACGGUACCUGGAGAAGCAGCUGCGGCUAACUACGUGCCAGCAGCCGCGGUAAUACGUAGGCAGCAAGCGUUGUUCGGAAUUACUGGGCGUAAAGGGUGCGUAGGCGGUGCUCUAAGUUUGGUGUGAAAUCUCCCGGCUUAACUGGGAGGGUGCGCCGAAAACUGGAGUGCUUGAGUGUGGGAGAGGAAAGCGGAAUUCCUGGUGUAGCGGUGAAAUGCGUAGAGAUCAGGAGGAACACCUGCGGUGUAGACGGCUUUCUGGACCAUAACUGACGCUGAGGCACGAAAGCGUGGGUAGCAAACAGGAUUAGAUACCCCAGUAGUCC